UACCAGCACCCCGAGUGGUCGGGACGAUUAUUGGGCCUAAAGCAUCCGUAGCCGGUCCUACAAGUCUUCCGUUAAAUCCACCUGCUUAACAGAUGGGCUGCGGAGGAUACUAUAGAGCUAGGAGGCGGGAGAGGCAAGCGGUACUUAGUGGGUAGGGGUAAAAUCCGUUGAUCCAUUGAAGACCACCAGUGGCGAAGGCGGCUUGCCAGAACGCGCUCGACGGUGAGGGAUGAAAGCUGGGGGAGCAAACCGG
rnacentral:rRNA from 1 species